UAACAAGGAUUCCCCUAGUAACUGCGAGUGAAGCGGGAUGAGCUCAAAUUUAAAAUCUGGCGUCUUCGGCGUCCGAGUUGUAAUUUAGAGAAGCGUUUUCCGCGCCGGACCGUGUACAAGUCUCCUGGAACGGAGCGUCAUAGAGGGUGAGAAUCCCGUCUUUGACACGGACCCCCGGUGCUCUGUGAUACGCUCUCGAAGAGUCGAGUUGUUUGGGAAUGCAGCUCAAAAUGGGUGGUGAACUCCAUCUAAAGCUAAAUAUUGGCGAGAGACCGAUAGCGAACAAGUACCGUGAGGGAAAGAUGAAAAGCACUUUGGAAAGAGAGUGAAACAGUACGUGAAAUUGUUGAAAGGGAAACGCUUGAAGUCAGUCGCGUCCGCCAGGAUUCAGCCUCACGGUGUACUUUCUGGUGGACGGGCCAGCAUCACUUUCAAUCAUCGGACAAGGUCGAGAGGAAUGUGGCACCUUCGGGUGUGUUAUAGCCUCUUGUCGUAUACGGUGACUGGGAGUGAGGACCGCCUUUGUAGGAUGCUGGCGUAAUGGCUUUAAACGAC
rnacentral:rRNA from 1 species